CCUACGGGUGGCAGCAGUGGGGAAUAUUGGGCAAUGGGCGCAAGCCUGAUCCAGCAACGCAGCGUGAAGGAUGAAGGCUCUCGGGUUGUAAACUUCUUUUUACAGGGACGUAGAAAGUGACGGUACCUGAGGAAUAAGCCUCGGCUAACUACGUGCCAGCAGCCGCGGGAAUACGUAUGUGGCAAGCGUUAUCCGGAUUUACUGGGUGUAAAGGGCGUGUAGGCGGGAAAGCAAGUCAGAUGUGAAAACCAUGGGCUCAACCUGUGGCCUGCAGUUGAAACUGUUUUUCGUGAGUACUGGAGAGGCAGACGGAAUUCGUCGUGUAGCGGUGAAAUGCGUAGAUAUGAGGAGGAACACCAGUGGCGAAGGCGGUCUGCUGGACAGCAACUGACGCUGAGGCGCGAAAGCGUGGGGAGCAAACAGGAUUAGAUACCCUUGUAGUC
rnacentral:rRNA from 1 species